GAGUUUGAUCUUGGCUCAGAUUGAACGCUGGCGGCAGGCUUAACACAUGCAAGUCGAGCGGGGGAGAUUGCUUCGGUAAUUGACCUAGCGGCGGACGGGUGAGUAAUACUUAGGAAUCUGCCUAUUAAUGGGGGACAACAUCUCGAAAGGGAUGCUAAUACCGCAUACGCCCUACGGGGAAAGCAGGGGAUCACUUGUGACCUUGCGUUAAUAGAUGAGCCUAAGUCGGAUUAGCUAGUUGGUGGGGUAAAGGCCUACCAAGGCGACGAUCUGUAGCGGGUCUGAGAGGAUGAUCCGCCACACUGGGACUGAGACACGGCCCAGACUCCUACGGGAGGCAGCAGUGGGGAAUAUUGGACAAUGGGGGGAACCCGUGAUCCAGCCAUGCCGCGUGUGUGAGAAGGCCUUAUGGUUGUAAAGCACUUUAAGCGAGGAGGAGGCUCCUGUAGUUAAUACCUACAGAGAGUGGACGUUACUCGCAGAAUAAGCACCGGCUAACUCUGUGCCAGCA
rnacentral:rRNA from 1 species